AUGCCGCCGUGUUGUAUCUCCUGAAAGAAAGGCUAACUGAGUAAAGGAAUCGUUUUCCUGAUCGCCGACAUGGAGCUCACCGACGACAAUUUGGUAACGUUGAGCGAAUAUCAGAAACACACACUCUCAGCCCAGACGUGAAUGUCAAACGUCCAGCCGAGAAAGUUUCUGGAGUCGGUGGAAGUCAAUCAGAAUUAUCCUUUACUACUACUUCAUUUGGUGGACAAAUCUGAGAUUAACAUCACGAUUAGGAUUGCCGGCGCAAUUUAAAAGAAUUAUGUUAAGCGCAACUGGAAAGUGGAGGAGGAUUCAGUGGAUCGUAUACAUGCCCAAGACAGAGAUGCCGUCAAGAAACUAAUCGUUAAUCUGAUGUUACAUUCACCAGAUUCGAUACAAAAGCAGUUGUCUGAUGCAGUAUCUAUUAUUGGAAAAUAUGACUUUCCGAACAAGUGGCCAGAAUUGAUUGAUCAGAUGGUAGAGAAGUUCAACACGCGAUUUUCAUGUGAUCAAUGGAGUCCUACACACGGCGCAUUCCUUAUUUAAGAGAUAUAGAUAC